rnacentral:lncRNA from 13 species
CCUCCCUAUCUCCUCCCUCCCUUUCUCCUCUCUCCCUUCCUCUAUCUCCCUCCUUCUCCUCCCUUUCUCAACUCUCCCACCCUCUCUCUCUUCUCCCAGCUCCUUCUCUUCUCUCCCCUCCCUCUCUCCUUUCUCCCCUCACUCUCUCCUCUCUCCCUCCCUCUCUGCUCUCUCCCUCCCUCUCUGCUCUAGUUGACUUCAGUGGUGGCUCAGUGGGCAGUAAAGGAGUGAGGGAGGGCUCUCAGACCUCUACAGACACAGGUGAGAAUCUAAAGGUUAGCGGUUAGAGAAGGCAGUGUUGACCACCUUUGGGUUAGACACUACAGAUUAUAGUUUCUGUCUGUCUUCCCCAGGUCCGGCCUUCGAGGCAUGCCUACUACCCCGCUCCUCUCUGGUGCCCCCCUCAGCCCUCCUCCCCAGGAAGGGCAGUGUGAAGGCAGCCACCAUGGGGCGCACCUUGCCCCUCUCCAAAGGCCCUGCCAACUCUCCCUUGCACCUGCCCAAAGAAUGCAACCGCUCUCUUGGGGACCUCAAGGUGUGUAAUGGUUGAAAAAGACUAAUAACAGCAGCCAUAAACUCUGCAAAGAUACUUAUAUCUAGAAAUGGACAUAUUGUAUGUAGAAAGAUUAUGCCAGGUCCUCAUUUCUCAUCCUCUCUCCUUUUCUUCCUGUCAGGUGACGAGGGGGUUGGUGGCUCGCUUCCUGCAGCGCUCCAAACGGAACCUGGCGUCCGCCGCAGAGCAUUCUGGGAACACGGGACAGGGUCAGAAAAGGAGAGGCGGGGUGGAGGGCAACGGGACAGGCCAUCUCCCUUUAGAGCAGGUGUUACGUAACUCCUGGGGGGCCAGCCAGGGAACCCACCCGCCAUACCCUCAUCACCGUGGUCACCACCACUCCCAUAGCGACAGCCGCCACAACCGCCGUCAUAGCAACCAACCCCCUGUGACGGAGGGGAUCCACUUGCGCAGCUGCGGCGACUUAAGCUCCUCCUCCUCUGCGUCGCUAUGGCGAUUACUGACGGCCAACCCCCCUCACGGGUCAUCAGGGACACUGUACACAGAGUCAGCCCUGUAAGAGGGGGAGGAGGGAGGAAAGAUGGGAGGGGAGGGGGAGGAAAAGGAGAGGAGGCAGAAAGUGUACCCACACAGAGGAGAGUGGAGGCAUGGUAUGGUCUAAUGAAGAAGAGAUACAAAGGGAGGAGGAGAGGUGGAGGAUGGUAGGAUGAGUUAGACAGGGGAGAGGAAGGAUGAAGGAACAGGCUACUGACAUAUCCUGAUGGGCGAUGGAGGGAGUCAGCAUUAUGAGGAGGGAACGACUGGACCUUUGCUACAGCCUUGUUCCAAUACUUUGAACAUGCAUCCUACCUCUUUCCCUUCCUCCUUCCCCUUGGAGCCCUCCUCUGCACCUGCGCCUGGCCUUCCUUUCCUGAACUUUGACCUCUCAACUAACCUCCUACCUUCAACCUCCACCUAGCCAUACUGAAAACAACUCUAUCUGUCCUCUCCAACUCUCUGGGAUCUCUCUCUAACUUCAAGAGUAGAGAGGAUGGAGAGAAGGAGUAGGAUAAUGAAGUUUCCCCUAGACUCUGAGCUAUGGUCAGUUUAGUGUUUCUCCUCUUAAUGGUUAAGGUUAGGAUCAGUGGAGCAUAAGCUGAUCCUAGAUCUGUGUCUAAGGUAAACACUUUUCUGGAGCUGUGAACAUCACUCUUACACGAACCGCAUACACUCAUUAAACUGCUCACUCUUUUUCAAAACUCAAAUGUACGUUCAUUUGUCCAGCUCUUCAUCCGGAGCGAAACUC